CCCUUAGAUGUUCUGGGCCGCACGCGCGCUACACUGAUGCAUUCAACGAGUCUAAAACCUGCUCUGAUAGGGGUGGGUAAUCUUUUGAAUGUGCAUCGUGAUUGGGAUAGAUGAUUGCAAUUUUUCAUCUUCAACGAGGAAUGCCUAGUAAACGCAAGUCAUCAGCUUGCAUUGAUUACGUCCCUGCCCUUUGUACACACCGCCCGUCGCUCCUACCGAUUGAAUGAUCCGAUGAAUAUCAUGGAUUGAGGAUGCAAGUAGUUUCGCCUAUCUUCAUCUUCGAGAAGUGAAGUAAAUCUUAUCAUUUAGAGGAAGGAGAAGUCGUAACA
rnacentral:rRNA from 1 species